rnacentral:rRNA from 1 species
UACGUAGGGUGCAGGCGUUAAUCGGAAUUACUGGGCGUAAAGGGUGCGCAGGCGGCGUCGCAAGUCAGGCGUGAAAUCCCCGGGCUUAACCUGGGAACUGCACUUGAAACUACGAUGCUGGAGUAUGGCAGAGGGAGGUGGAAUUCCACGUGUAGCGGUGAAAUGCGUAGAGAUGUGGAGGAACACCGAUGGCGAAGGCAGCCUCCUGGGCCAAUACUGACGCUCAUGCACGAAAGCGUGGGGAGCAAACAGG